CCUACGGGUGGCAGCAGUGGGGAAUAUUGCACAAUGGGGGAAACCCUGAUGCAGCGACGCCGCGUGAGUGAAGAAGUAUUUCGGGAUGUAAAGCUCUAGCAGCAGGGAAGAAAAUGACGGUACCUGACUAAGAAGACCCGGCUAACUACGUGCCAGCAGCCGCGGUAAUACGUAGGGGGCAAGCGUUAUCCGGAUUUCCUGGGUGUAAAGGGAGCGUAGACGGCCAGACAAGUCAGAAGUGAAAGCCCAGGGCUCAACCCUGGGACGGCUUUUGAAACUGCCGGGCUGGAGGGCAGGAGAGGUAAGCGGCAUUCCUAUUGUCGCGGUGAAAUUCUUAGAUAUUAUGCGGAACACCAGUGGCGAAGGCGGCUUACUGGACUGUACCUCACGUUGCGGCUCGAAAGCGUGGGGAGCAAACAGGAUUAGAUACCCUAGUCGUC
rnacentral:rRNA from 1 species